UACUGUUGAGAUUUCGGGUACUAGUACAAAAAAGAUGGGAAAGCUUCUUUCUAAAUACUUACGGUCUGAAUGGGCGAAUAUGCAUGUGCAAAAUUAAUUCACAAGGAAAACCUGCUGAAUAAUCUGGAAGUCUGCUUCAACUGAACCGUCAUGUUGAAGUCCGUUUGCUCAGCCCCGGGAGAGAAAGACCUUUGCCCACUGAAGAAAGGGAAGAUGUACGAGCCACUGUGAAAGCCAGAUGGUGUGGAGUUCUUUUUUAAGAGGCCAGGAAUAUCACCAUCUUCUGAAGGAGGCAAUGUUUUGGGACAAUUUUCGUCUUCAGCUUUCAAGAGUCAAGGAAGAUAUAUAACCUUAGAUCCAGGACCUUUUGAGGAAUGGACAAAAUAUGACAGAGACAAGAUACUAAGCCAGAGAGAAGUUAAAGAACCUGUUCGUGUCCAUAGUAUUCCAAGUUCACACAGUUCUGAGAGAAAAAGGAUCUCCGCUUAAAUGGGACGGCUUUGUUGAGUCUUGCUUUCAAGCAAAGUGCAGCUUACCUGGUGAAAGGACAAGGGCCUCCGAGAUUUAUCAGCUCGGCAGCGUCAUCCAGGACCCAGAUCUGCCCAUCUUUCUGCUCCCCUGUCCUCGGCACACGGCUAGGCACAGCCCUGCCACCUCACCACUGGACGUUGUCCACUCUAGUUUCAAGCAUCACAGGUGUUCAAGGUGACAUUCCCCAAAGACAAAGGAGCACGUAUGGCUCCGUGACGUUUCUGGGUUAGGAGAGAAAAAAACACUUCCAGGAAGGUGCCCCUGCAGGUGUCGGUGUUAUGUCUCAUUGGCUGCAGUUGUGUCUCGGGUCCAGCCCAGAAUGACUCAAUGUCAGGGGGGUAAAAUGAUUAUGAUUGGCUUACAGUCAUUCAUGUUUACCUCCUGGGGCUGAGCACUUCCCCACAGUGCAUGAAAAUGGGAGCACCUGAACUAAAGUAGGCAAGGAAAGUGGGGGAGGCCACCAGCAUCCCUCCCACGCUUGUCCUGGGCAAAGCUUAGGUGUGGAGUCACCUCCUCCCCGGCACCCCCCACUUCCUCCUCUCCUGGCACCAGGAAUCAUCUGUACUUAUUUUGUUAAUUUGAUUAUUGCUUUUUUUUUUUUUUUAAACUUCCUGAAACUCUGUAAGAGUAGGGACUGUUGUAUCCUUGGUACUAAGCACAAUGGAGAUGAGUAGUAAGUAUUUUUACUAAUAAUACAAAAAAGGAAUUAUAUAAUUCACAGUGUCAUCAAACAUUAAUCUCUCUAUUGGGAAGAAAUGAAACCUUCCCUAAAAAGAGCUUCUUUUUUUUUUCCAGCUUAUAAAAGAAACAUGAUGUAAUAAUACCCCAAUGAGGGUACAUUGUUCCCAAAGUCUUGAAUCACUGGAUACGGCUGAUCUGAAAUUCACUGAACAACUGUGCCUUAGUCAGGCUCCUGGCGGGAGGCAAACAGCUCAGCAUGCUCUGAGUGAAUUGAAGGGGUUUGGAUGGAGAGCCCCGGUGUAGGGCGAAGCAAAAAGCAAGGGAUGGGAACGGGGUUCCUGUAGGAAACAGUUGUCACAACCAAGAGAGUCGGUGGAAGAGAGUUUAAUGAUGAACUGUUGCAUCACCAAGAGGCUGGUAACUGCUGAAAGCUGUUAGCUCAGUCGGGCUUGAAGGACGGUGGAGAGGAGGCUGUUCCGGGGACGAGAGAAGCUGUAGCAGAGGGAGAACACCCGCACGAUGGGAGCGUUCGAUGCAGGGCUUUAGUUUUGGACUCGAGACUGUGGUAAUUGAAGAUUUCUGCUUCUGGCCAUGAUGGAUUAGUGUGCAGCUGACUAAACCCAAAGCCAAGAACACAAGAGAAGAAUCCUCUGGACUCCCUGAGAAAGAGCCUGAGCUGACCCUCUGGGGUAUGAGAGGCUGCGGGGAAGAGAAGGGAAGCCAGACAGCCCCCCAGAAGGAGAGAGAACCCGCUGACCCGCAGCCACCCUCAACAGAAGAGAGAGCCCAGUGGCCUGUAGAU